rnacentral:rRNA from 1 species
UACGUAGGCAGCGAGCGUUGUUCGGAAUUACUGGGCGUAAAGAGUGUGUAGGCGGUGCUCUAAGUUCGGUGUGAAAUCUCCUGGCUCAACUGGGAGGGUGCGCCGGAAACUGGAGUGCUUGAGCGUGGGAGAGGAAAGCGGAAUUCCUGGUGUAGCGGUGAAAUGCGUAGAUAUCAGGAGGAACACCUGUGGUGUAGACGGCUUUCUGGACCAUAGCUGACGCUGAGAGACGAAAGCUAGGGGAGCGAAUGGG